rnacentral:rRNA from 1 species
AGGAAGACCAAGCAACCGCAAUUGCUUCAGUAACGGCGAGUGAACCGGCACCAUACAUGGCUCAGCCUGAACGAGAUUCCCUCCUGCACUGCCUCAUGGCAGGUUGCAGUCGGCUACUGUGGGAUCCAGAGAUGCUGUGGGCUACGGAGCGGUCGGCUGUGCUGUGGUUGGCUGUGGCACCAGGAGGCGGCCUGGAAGGGCCCACAACAGAGGGAUACUGUCCCGUACCCUGUGGAGCGUGCCACGGCCACUGCGGCGCUGCUGCCUGUAUCCACGAGUAGAGUGGCUUGGGACUGCAGUUUGAACUGUGAUGUGUAUCCAUCACAAGGAGGAAUACCAACAUUGGGACCGACAGAGCACAAGUAGAGUGAUUGAAGGAUGCAAAGGACUUUGCAAAGAGGGUUAAAAGUCCCUGAAGCCUUGGCAGGAUCGGCGGUGAGUGGUGCCUUGGCCUUGCGGUGUGCGCCGGGUGGCCCCACGGUUGGCUGGACGCUGUGUCUGGCUGGCCGUCCCACCCCACCACCCCCUGAGUGCCUUGGCGUGCGUGUGGAGGGAGCCAGGCGGCAUGUGCGGUGCCGUGCCUGUCCCGUCUGCGGGCGGGGCUGAGUGCGUGGCCUGUGUGUGCCACCGCCCUCUCCCACCACGGUGAGAGCCAGGGAAGAGAUCCCAAGCGGCCUUGGGCCAGCCCAGAGCUGGCCACUGAGCCCAGUCCUGAAGGAGUGGAUGCAGUCGUGGCAGUGUCCUGUGGUGGCAAACCCUGCUUGCCAGGGCCUGAGGUCCAUGAGAACCCAAAGGGCUACACACCGCGGUGUGUGUGCCCAGCGUGCUCCCUGAGUGGUGUGUGGCAAAGGGCCCAGUCCCUGCGGAACGGUCCCGUGUGACCCGGGGCCAACACGGUGCUUGGUGUGUUGCAGUGGCAGGCGGGCCUGCUGUGGACCCCCGCCAGAAGGAUGUGGCCCAGGGGUGGGUUGUGCCACCCGUGCCCUYACCGGGCUGUGCUGGCGCUCCCCUCUGUGUGCUCUCUGCCUGGGUGCCGUGGGUGGACGGCGGGCUAGCCCGGCCCCAUCGUGCUUUGUGCCUGAGGCCUGGCUGGGAACCAGGGCCCAGAAGCGGGAGGAAGGAGUCCUUGCUGCCAACCCUCUGUGGUGGCUGCUGGUGCCGCAGCCGUGUGUGAUGUGGACAAGACAACGGCGUCUGUGGGACGGAGUGUGUGCAACGGAUGAUCCCCUGUGAAACCUGGCGCGUCUACGGGCGUGCCAGUCACCGGUGCCCAGUCAUGGCCUGGGUUCCCCUGGUGCGCUGGUGGGCCACCCUCCCGGGUGCCCACUGCGCUGCCUGUGGAGCCCCCAGAUGGUGCCCGGUGCAGACGCGCGCAGAGCUUGGGGUGCCGGAGGUGCCRCCCUCUGCCCGUCUUGAAACACGGACCAAGGAGUCUAUGGAGCUUGCAGGUGCGCUGGUGUGAUCAUGGAAAACCACAGGAGCUGUGGUGAAAGCGAGUCUGUCCCAGACGAAGUCUCCUCUGCACGGGACACCGGCCCCUGCGUCCAGUGGACGGGGUUUUGAGUGAUUGCGAGGUCCAUGGGACCCGAAAGGUGGUGAACUAUACCGUACCACGACGAAGCCGUGGGAAACUGCGGUGGAGGUCGGCCGCUGUUCUGACGUGCAAAUUGUGUAGCCUGAGUGUGGCAUAGGGGUGAAAGGCCAAUCGAACCACCUAGUAGC